rnacentral:rRNA from 1 species
CCCUUAGAUGUUCUGGGCCGCACGCGCGCUACACUGUUUGAUUCAGCGAGUCUUAACCUUGACCGAAAGGUUUGGGUAAUCUUCUAAAGUCAAACGUGAUGGGGAUCGAUCAUUGCAAUUAUUGAUCGUGAACGAGGAAUUCCUAGUAAAUGCAAGUCAUCAGCUUGCGUUGAUUACGUCCCUGCUCUUUGUACACACCGCCCGUCGCUACUACCGAUUGAAUGGUUUAGUGAGAUCUCCGGAUUGGCUCUGUAGGUCCCGCAAGGGAUUUAUUAGUAGCCAAGAAGCUGCUCAAACUUGAUCAUUUAGAGGAAGUAAAAGUCGUAACA